GUCCAGUGGGCAGGGAUUGGACCGUCACUGGAAAGUGCAAAUGUCCCGCCUUCCCUCCCCCCACCUAUUUUUUUUCAAGAGAACUGAAGUAUUUUUGACCUUGACUUCAAUAAUACUUCAUGUUUUAGUACUUUAGUCAGCAGUUUAUCGGCUAAUUGCUAUACACUACCGCAUGUGGCUUGAAUCUGCAAUUGCAGCUCUCUUUUAAUGGUAUCUGCUGUCUAUCCCAGUCCUCUAAAGUAUUCCCUCCGUCCAGCUCACCAGAUCUACUCCAGAAGUAAUCUCACUGAAGUCAAUGGUAUUCUUUGCUGGCUCUACUGAAGUCAAUGGCUGUGCAACAUGAAGAAGAGAGUCAGAAUCUGGCCACAAAUCGCAGGAUACUCCCUAA